rnacentral:rRNA from 1 species
GGCUAACCUGCCCUUGGGACAGAGACACCCCCGGGAAACUGGGGCUAAUCCCUGAUAGGUGAAGAACUCUGGAAUGAGUCUUCACCCAAAAGACGCCUAGGCCACGCUUCUAGGCGCCGCCCAAGGAUGGGGCCGCGACCGAUCAGGUUGUUGGUGAGGUAACGGCCUACCAAGCCUUUUACCGGUACGGGCCGUGAGAGCGGGAGCCCGGAGAUGGGCACUGAGACAAGGGCCCAGGCCCUACGGGGCGCAGCAGUCGCGCAAACUUUGCAAUACACGAAAGUGUGACAGGGCUAUCCCGAGUGCCGUCCGCUGAGGGUGGCUUUUACCCAGUCUAGAAAGCUGGGAGAAUAAGGAGAGGGCAAGUCUGGUGUCAGCCGCCGCGGUAAUACCAGCUCUCCGAGUGGUGUGGAUGUUUAUUGGGCCUAAAGCAUCCGUAGCUUGCUGAUCAAGUCCCCUGUUAAACCCAACGAAUCAAUCGUUGGAUUGCGGGGGAUACUGCUCGGCUAGGGGACGAGAGAGGCCGACGGUAUUUUCGGGGUAGGGGUGAAAUCCUAUAAUCCCGAGAGGACCACCAGUGGCGAAGGCUGUCGGCUAGAACGCGCCCAACGGUGAGGGAUGAAAGCUGGGGGAGCGAACCGGAUUAGAUACCCGGGUAGUCCCAGCUGUAAACGAUGCAGGCUAGGUGUUUGGGCGGCUACGCGCCGCUCUAGUGCCGCAGGGAAGCUGUUAAGCCUGCCGCCUGGGGAGUACGGCCGCAAGGCUGAAACUUAA